rnacentral:tRNA from 1 species
CAGGACAUAGCUUAAACAAAGCAUCUAGUUUACACCUAGAAGAUUUCAUACACUAUGAAUGUCUUGA